CGGACGGGUGAGUAAUGCUUGGGAAUCUAGCUUAUGGAGGGGGAUAACUACGGGAAACUGUAGCUAAUACCGCGUAAUAUCGAAAGAUUAAAGUGUGGGACCUCGGGCCACAUGCCAUAGGAUGAGCCCAAGUGGGAUUAGGUAGUUGGUGAGGUAAAGGCUCACCAAGCCGACGAUCUCUAGCUGGUCUGAGAGGAUGACCAGCCACACUGGGACUGAGACACGGCCCAG
rnacentral:rRNA from 1 species